rnacentral:misc_RNA from 1 species
CCAAUAGCGUAUAUUAAAGUUGUUGCAGUUAAAAAGCUCGUAGUUGAAUUUCGGGAUCAAGUCGUCGGUCGUGCCUCGGUACGCACUGGUGACAUUGGUUUCUCCCUUCUGAAGAACCUUGAUGUCAUUAAUUUGGUGUCUUGGGGAAUCAGGACUGUUACUUUGAAAAAAUUAGAGUGUUUAAAGCAGGCUCACGCUUGAAUACAUUAGCAUGGAAUAAUGAAAUAGGACGUUUGAUUCUAUUUUGUUGGUUUCUAGGAUCGACGUAAUGAUUAAUAGGGAUAGUUGGGGGCAUUAGUAUUCAAUUGUCAGAGGUGAAAUUCUUGGAUUUAUUGAAGACUAACUACUGCGAAAGCAGUUGCCAAGGAUGUUUUCAUUAAUCAAGAACGAAAGUUAGGGGAUCGAAGACGAUCAGAUACCGUCGUAGUCUUAACCAUAAACUAUGUCGACUAGGGAUCGGAUGAUGUUAAUUUUUUAAUGACUCAUUCGGCGCCUUAC